AACGAACGCUGGCGGCAUGCCUAACACAUGCAAGUCGAACGAGACCUUCGGUCUAGUGGCGCACGGGUGCGUAACGCGUGGGAAUCUGCCCCUCGGUUCGGAAUAACACAGAGAAAUUUGUGCUAAUACCGGAUAAUGACGAAAGUCCAAAGAUUUAUCGCCGAGGGAUGAGCCCGCGUAAGAUUAGCUAGUUGGUGGGGUAAUGGCCUACCAAGGCGACGAUCUUUAGCUGGUUUGAGAGGAUGAUCAGCCACACUGGGACUGAGACACGGCCCAGACUCCUACGGGAGGCAGCAGUGGGGAAUAUUGGACAAUGGGCGAAAGCCUGAUCCAGCAAUGCCGCGUGAGUGAUGAAGGCCUUAGGGUUGUAAAGCUCUUUUACCAGGGAUGAUAAUGACAGUACCUGGAGAAUAAGCUCCGGCUAACUCCGUG
rnacentral:rRNA from 1 species